UACAGAGGUGGCAAGCGUUGUUCGGAAUUACUGGGCGUAAAGGGCGCGUAGGCGGCUUGGUCAGUCCCGUGUGAAAUCCCUCGGCUCAACUGGGGAACUGCACGGGAAACUGCCUGGCUUGAGUUCGGGAGAGGGAAGCGGAAUUCCGGGUGUAGCGGUGAAAUGCGUAGAUAUCCGGAGGAACACCGGUGGCGAAGGCGGCUUCCUGGACCGACACUGACGCUGAGGCGCGAAAGCUAGGGGAGCAAACGGG
rnacentral:rRNA from 1 species